rnacentral:rRNA from 1 species
AGAGUUUGAUCCUGGCUCAGAACGAACGCUGGCGGCAUGCCUAACACAUGCAAGUCGAACGAGACCUUCGGGGGCAGUGGCGGACGGGUGAGUAACGCGUAGGAACGUGUCCUGGACUGGGGGAUAACGCUGGGAAACUGGCGCUAAUACCGCAUAUCUCCUGAGGGAGAAAGCCGCGAGGCGGUUUGGGAGCGGCCUGCGUCCGAUUAGCUUGUUGGUUAGGUAAUGGCUGACCAAGGCGAUGAUCGGUAGCUGGUCUGAGAGGAUGAUCAGCCACACUGGGACUGAGACACGGCCCAGACUCCUACGGGAGGCAGCAGUGGGGAAUAUUGGACAAUGGGCGCAAGCCUGAUCCAGCAAUUCCGCGUGGGUGAAGAAGGUCUUCGGAUUGUAAAGCCCUUUCGGCGGGGACGAUGAUGACGGUACCCGCAGAAGAAGCCCCGGCUAACUUCGUGCCAGCAGCCGCGGUAAUACGAAGGGGGCUAGCGUUGCUCGGAAUGACUGGGCGUAAAGGGCGCGUAGGCGGCACGGACAGUCAGGCGUGAAAUUCCUGGGCUUAACCUGGGGGCUGCGUUUGAUACGUUCGAGCUAGAGGAUGGAAGAGGCUCGUGGAAUUCCCAGUGUAGAGGUGAAAUUCGUAGAUAUUGGGAAGAACACCGGUGGCGAAGGCGGCGAGCUGGUCCAUUACUGACGCUGAGGCGCGAAAGCGUGGGGAGCAAACAGGAUUAGAUACCCCGGUAGUCC